ACAGUAACAGGAACUCCAAAGAUGACUUCUGUGAAGACAUAAGAGACUAUCUAGAAAUAACAGCCAUCCAAUAUAAAGAUGACAAGACCCCACUGUAAACUAUAAAUUCAAUGAGAUUCCAAUCACAAUCCCAGCAGAAAUUAGAAUCUCAUUUAUGUGUGCUUUUCUCUGGAUGAAGGGUAAGAUCUGACAUGCUGCCCUGAAAGUUUCACUGAAAGAGAAUUUACCUUACUAGAUAAGCAAGACCGGGCAAAACAGCUAUAGUUAACAUAGCAUGACAGUAACAUGAUGUAGACAAACCAAGUAAGGCUAUGGCACAGAAUAGAGUCUACAAAUACACUCUUGCAGUAAGUUUAAAACUUUUGAAAUAAAGUUUAAAACAGCAACACACAGACUAGCAAAGACAUUUGUAGUGCAUAUUCCCCCAAAAGGUCAGGUAGUGACUACUGCAAAUUAUAAGAAAAAAAAUUGCCAUGAUCAAAAUAAAAGCCAAAAUCCAACAGAAAAAAAAGAAAAGUAAAGGACAGGGAGAAGAUGCACUAAAUAAGAAACCACAACAAUCAAAAACCAUGCAAAUAUGUUAAACUUUACUAGAAACCAAAGUAAUAAAAACAAAACUUACGAAACACCGUUUCUCAUCUUUCAGAGAGGCAACAACCAAUGUCUCAAUAAAAUCAUGUGCUCAGAAAGAUGUACAGAAACACCAGUGGGCAUUAAGGCAUGCUUCCACUGUGGACUACCUAAGCAGUAUCUGAUAAAGAUGAAGGGCAACCUAGACCCUAUGAUAUAACAAUCCUACUUUCAGAUGUCUAUCCUAAACCAAAGUACACACUGACUACUUAUGUACAAGCAUUACCACACUAUCUGCCAAAAGUCAGAAAUUAAUUAUCUCUCAACAUGCAACUGAUCUUUACUUAAGAAGGAAAAGUAAACAAGUUAUAAGAAAUAAGCUAAACCUACAUGGGUGAAUAUGAAUACAUCUAGAAACAAGGUGGUAUAAAUUUUUUUCAGGUUAUCUGUAAAUGGUUUACAACAUAGAAAAACAACAGCAGAAUAGCCGCAAGGAAUCUAGGAUACUGGGUUCCUCUCAAGGAGGGAAGAAGCUGGGACAGGAGGGAAAAAGAGAAAAGCAAAUGAGGCAAAGGUAGGACCUCAAUGCACUGCCCAUCUACCUCAGAUCCAGAAUCAUUUAGCCACAGGCAAAAAGAAUUCAAAGCAGUGAAUCUAUGACAUCAUGCCUACCGUGCUACUGUAUGGAAAUAAUACUCACUUUUUUAAUGGAAGUUAAUAGCCACAUUGGAACCCCAUCACCCCUUCCUCAAAUGUAAAGACCACACACACACAAAGUUUCAGGAGCCUUUCUUCAUGGACCAUCUCUAGUGACUAUUCCACAAAAUGCACUUUGGAAACAAACUAGUAGAUGAAACAUUCACAAAGAUUACCACUGUUCUCUCUGGACUGAGGAAGCCAGGACAAUUUGCAGUCACCUCUUCCCCAGAGGUCUCCAGCUCUCCAACAGUGACGUUGCUUAUAUAAUGAAAAUGUGUAAAAAUACAUUCACCUUUAUAAAAUUUUAAACUUCUGUAUCUUAACCAUGGAAACAUUCUCAGACACUAACACCCAAACCCAAGGCUAAUUUCUUGUGGACUUUAGAUCACUACUGCCUAUAACAGGAAAAAGAUCAGUUAAAAUGACUACACUCAAAUUGAGAUGUCCCACAAGUAUAAAAUAUACACAGAUUUGAAAGAUUUAGUAUUAAAAUAAGUGUAUAGGGACACAAUAAGCACUUACUGUUACUGUUGCCACAUUAACAUGUACUUCUGAGAAUGGUUACACAUGGUAGAUAAUGUCAGAGCACACCGAAGAGCCUCCAGCUUUGAACCCUAAAAACCUGACAUGCUCAGCUGACUCCCUUCAUGCCAAUCUCUAAAUUCUUAUUUAUCAGAAUUCAGUUCCACUUAGUUAUUUUAAUCUUUAAUAAAACAUAACUCAGCACUUGGUGUUUACAUGUAACUUCUGAUAAACUUUUACAAGAGCACAUAAUUAAAAUUUCUGAAAAGGUGAAGGGAGGGCAGAGGUAAGGGGAAAAAAUGAGAAUCAAGA